rnacentral:rRNA from 1 species
AAUCAACGCUGGCGGCGUGCCUAACACAUGCAAGUCGAGCGGUAAGGCCCUUUCGGGGGUACACGAGCGGCGAACGGGUGAGUAACACGUGGGUGACCUGCCCUCAGCUCUGGGAUAAGCCUGGGAAACCGGGUCUAAUACUGGAUAUGACUCCAUGACGCAUGUUGUGGGGUGGAAAGCCUUGUGCGGCUGAGGAUGGGCCCGCGGCCUAUCAGCUUGUUGGUGGGGUGAUGGCCUACCAAGGCGACGACGGGUAGCCGGCCUGAGAGGGCGACCGGCCACACUGGGACUGAGACACGGCCCAGACUCUUACGGGAGGCAGCAGUGGGGAAUCUUGCGCAAUGGGCGAAAAGCCUGACGCAGCGACGCCGCGUGAGGGAUGACGGCCUCGG